GUCUGGCACUAGGGUUUUCCANNNNNNNNNNNNNNNNNNNNNNAGGGAAGCAUCCAAAGGCGUCCGCUCACUCAGAGGUCUGGGGUGGGCGGGACGCAGCGCGACCUCCAUAACCAGAGAAAGCCGCGCAGGACAGCCAGCGAUCCCACCAGGCUCCCACUCUGCUCCGAGCGCGCAGGGAAGCCUCUGCGCACUUAUUACCUGUGGUGCAGAGCCCGACGGCCCGGCUCCACCGACCUGCCACGCUCGCCAUGGUGAGCUGCAUCAGCAGAAAGGUCAACUGCAGAGAAACAAGGGCACCCCUAGCCCGCCGGGAAAGGGAAGUCGGCACGGGCGGGACGGUGGGAACGUUCCGCGCUGAGGCCGUGGGCGGGCAAGCCAGAUUCCGUUCUCCCAAGGCUCUGGCAGCCUCUAUCUCUGAGCAUGCGCGUUGAGCGACGCAUGCGCGAAUUUCAGCUCAUGCGCAGUGUCAUCUUCUCGAAAAGCGUCUAGACUACCUCCGGGAACACGGAAAGUCGGGGUAGGGUGUGUUUCCUGUGAGGGCGGAGCAGUGUGCUUAUUCUCCUUUAUGGGGAGCUAAAUACCAGAACACUUGUUAAACUUACUGCUCUGGGCGAGGGAUGUUUUGGUGUUUGCUGUUGAAUGGGCCAGCUCUGCUUGCUGUGUAGCAUUGUUCUCUUGGAAAGCUGCUUUCUAGUUUGUAUUUACACUACAGAUUGGAACCCAAAUACACUGUGUCAAGUCAACUACUUCAGGUUUCUUUUCCAUUCUUUGACCUGGAUUCAUCUCAAAAUGCAAGUAACUGAAAGACACAAUCACAGAACCUAGAGAUGAAGAAAGAAUCAAAACUGCUCUCAUUCAAGAACCUCUGGACUUGGAGGCCAAAGAGAUCCCUCUGUACCUGGUGUGAGCAGAGCUUCAUGGAAGUCUCUGGAAGCUCUGAAUAAUAAUAACAUAAACACAACAAUGUAGAAUCUGAAAUAUUACAUACUUCAAGUGAAAAAAUUCUUUUUUUCCUCUUUAUAAAUGUGAAAGAAACUUGUUUUCCUCUGCAAUACUUUCAUUGUAGGAAAUAGAAUAGAGAUGCUUUAUAUUUACAA
rnacentral:lncRNA from 1 species